rnacentral:lncRNA from 1 species
UAUAAUAGUUGUGGCAUUUAUAAGAAUUUGAUAAUACUUAUUGUAAUGACCCGAACUGCUAGCAAAAUGCUUAAGCCCAAUUAUUAUUGCUAACUUGUGAGGUCCUUGUCAGGUCUAAAUCAAGAUCAUAGACACGGUAGCUCCUACAAGUUCAAGAGGUGGCUCCCACUAAAUUCGUUGGUGUAGCAUUUUAUCCCGGAUAGCACUUAGUUCUCACAGUUUCGGUUGGUAUUUGAUUGUGAUACCAGUUAUAACGAUUCGAUUUGCUAGCAAUAAUAACUCGUCGGGCCCAAACCACCGGCUCAUAAUAUUUAAACCCAGUUAUUAUUAUUAGUAUGUGAGGCCUCAUAUAUUUUAAUCAACAUUAUUUUUCAACCCGAUGCGGGACUAUUGGGGCUUUACACUUAUAAUUUAUACUAUCUC